rnacentral:rRNA from 1 species
UACGUAGGUGACAAGCGUUGUCCGGAUUUACUGGGCGUAAAGAGCGCGCAGGCGGUCGUUCAAGUCGAGUGUGAAAGCCCCCGGCUCAACUGGGGAGGGUCACUCGAUACUGAUCGACUUGAAGGCAGGAGAGGGAAGCGGAAUUCCCGGUGUAGUGGUGAAAUGCGUAGAUAUCGGGAGGAACACCCGUGGCGAAGGCGGCCCCCUGGGUCGGCCCUGACGCUGAGGCGCGAAAGCUAGGGGAGCAAACGGG